ACUCCCCCGAUUCCGAAGGAGCAUAGCCGGCGGUCGAUUGCGAUCGCCGGCGUCGGAAAAAUUCAAGGAAAAAAGAGGUCGACAUAGGGGUCUCUUUUUCGAUCGAAAAUCAGCGACACCCAUCGCCGGCAGCCUCGUGCAAAGGUAUGGGAAGAAAGGGAAGGAAGAGAGGAAGGGGAGGAAGACUUUCCUCAGCCUCCGGUGACCCCACCGGCGAGUAAUCAUGGUAAGAACCAAACGGUGUCCGUGGCUCCGAUCAAAAAAAAUAGGGAGAAAGA
rnacentral:lncRNA from 1 species